AGAACACAAAGAUCACAGAGAACUUACUUUUAAAAGCCUUUAGUGUUUGCUAAGCUACCAUUUCAGCAGGUGGUGGCCAGCCUCGUUUUAAGCAAACUAACUUAGUGGAGCCUGGAGCUGUUGUGCGCAGGUCCCACUUAGAGUGUUGUGUGGACAGUCUCAGUGAUGGAUGGCUCCUGUAGAGCCCUGCUGACCCACCUGAGAUCUACAGGUGGACUUUGUACCAGGUGGCCCUGGCGAUUCCGGACUGAAUUCCUCGGGUUCUCCCCCACCACCACCCCGCCCCGCUCCCCCUCCUAGGGGGAGUAAAGACUAGUGAGAGCUGCCUGGCCAAUCGUCGCUUUGAGAAAGUUUGGGCCGUGAUCCUGUUUCAUUAGGCUGAUUGGAGCAGCCGGGACUCGAAGCGCCAAGCCGGCUCCCCAGCCUAGUCUGCCGAACGCAAACCACUGAGAGUUUGCCGAGCCUCCCCCGGGGGCGCGGGCCGCCCAGUCCCAC
ensembl:lncRNA